AAUGUCCAACUUUCUUUUUUUAAUAAAGGAAAAAAGAAAAUUCUCAUGCAGGGCACUAAGUCCUUGUGCAGAAGCAGUCUCCUCAUUUGCGUACUUGAGAACUGUUAUACCUGUAUGAGCUGAUCAACAAAUGAGUGCUGUCAGGGACUUGCCAGUUUGCUGAGUCAGAGCAACACACUGCCUGUGUAAUACCUCCCUAGUUCAUGUGAUAAUGGAUAUUGACAGCAAGGAAGCUGCCUGCUUUUGUUGCUAAUUGUUUUCCUGAUUUAUAGCUCUUCUGUGUGUCUAUCAUUUUUAUGUAUGAUAUAUUUCAAUAUACUGUUGAUGCUAUAUUCUUUCUGCUCACAGCGGUGUUCCUGUGUUCCAACAGAUUCAUGUGUUUGAGGCAAUGGCUUUUCUCCUAGGAUGCAGCAUAUAAAUUGUCUCUUCCAAACAAAGCAGCACAGAAAACAAUUUUUUCAAGUGGUCACAGAUGAACAAUGUCCAAAGGAAUUUUCCUUUUCAGAUGCUUCAUUAAUGCAUCUGUUUGCUGUUCUAGGGUGUGCAAUCUGCAAAAGGUCAUAAUCUGCAGGUGCAAAUAUGUUCACCAAAGCUCUCUGGAGAACUACUUGAUUCUGAAGCCACUGGAUACUGGACAACUCCAGUUUUUCUGAAGGGAAAGAUCUGUUGGGCAUUAGCUGUGGAGAAUAAAUAAAAGAGAAGCCUUACUUUGAUUUCUAAA
rnacentral:lncRNA from 1 species